GCUCCGGUGACGCACCGCGAUUCAGAAACAAAAAAAAAAUUGCUUAACAAACUCCAAUACUAAAUGAUAUUAUGCUGACAAUAUAUGUGCUACAUUUUCUAUAAAUAAUCUGUAAUGAAGAGCAGAUAAAAAGUCUGGAGAAACGGAAAAGCUUCUCGAGGAUGCUUGGAUCAGUGCGCAUAUAUGGAACGCGCACUGCGUGAGCCCAAAAUGUACUCGAUUAUUCAAAGAAAUCAUCAAUGGAAUACUUGAUUCCAAAAAUACUUGAUAGUUGCAGCUCUAGUCCUUUUUAUGCAGAUUAUGUCUCGGAACGGGAAGAUUUCUGAGGCACUCUGAAUACAUCACAUAGAUUAUUAUCAACAAUAAAAAAAAACAGAAUAAAAAGCAGAUUAAAGGAGCCUCAAGUUGGGGCCAUCCGCCAUCCGUACCAUCCGCCAACAGCCUGGAGGGGGCCAUGCUAUCCCUCCAGAAUUACUAUUGCAACAACACAUCAUCAGUACACUCAAAAUAAGCAAACUGGUAGGCUGUUACAUUAACUCAAUUGUAACAUGUUUCAUCUAAGCUAUAAUUUAGUGUUUCAAUCAUGACUUCUGCCUAUACCCUUUCAGUCAAUGUAUUGUUUUUAAGUGUAAGAAUUAUGCUUCUUGUGUUUUCCUGUAAAAAGAUGACUGAAAUAAACUUAACUAACUAACUAACAUGACAAAAUCAUGUUGGCUUUACAUGAAGUUAAGCAACUAAACAUUCAUUAAAUUAAUUCACAUUGCAGUUACGUGAAGAAAUUGCGUUUGUACAACUAGGCAGUGAAAGCAACGUCAAUAUCGCGAUGAUCCGCGAGACUUUGCUGUUGCGACAGUUCGCAGUGACACCUGGGAAGAGGAGCUGACCGCACACAUGGAAAAGCAGUUUGUCACCAAAGUGUCCUGUUUCUUCAAGUGAGCUGUCUCACUACAUCUGUCUUCCAUUCGUUUGCAUCAGUGACGACAUCUUUUCUGGAAAAGGCUGAUGACGAAGGCUCCAGAACAGCUAUGGCAGAGACGGUCUUUGGAUUAUUUGUCAUCCGACAGGAAGGAGCCGGGCCUGCUGAUGACCCAGAGGAUGUUGGAAUCAUUCAGGAAGGGGUGGAGGUACUCAACAACUUGAGAAAUGUUCCUUUUGCUGUUGCGAUGUUGCUCGCUCUUGUGUAAGCUCUAAACCUGAGCUACCCUCCGGAGUUGAAAUAUACCUUCGAAGCACUUCAGAAAAUCAUAAUGGAAAUAGACGGAAGCAGACUAUCCAGAGAAGUACAAGCUCUCAAAACAUUCUUUUGCCGUUAGUGAAGUGAUGGAGAAUCCUUCACACAGGAAUUGGAGCUCAGACAAUUAGUUAUCUGUGAAGGACAAAUAUUUAAAUGGAAGGAGACUCAGGAGGUAGUCCCAUUUCCCACAGUUAAUGGUCAGAAGCAAGGCAAGAUAUGAUCUUGUUAUAGUCUCAUUUUGAAUACUGUCUUUUUUUGGUUGUUGUUGUUUUUGUUUUGUUUUUUCCUUUGGAAUGGAUUAAGUAUCAAGUGCUGUCCAUUUGAUUUGUACUGACCCAAAAGCAGUGUUUUGUUUGAUGAGUCAGAAAAAAAAGCAACAAAAAAAUAUUUUAGGUUGACUGUAUCUGUUUUUUUUAUAUAUGGCUCUAUUAUUAGGUACUGUGAUUUAU